rnacentral:miRNA from 1 species
GGGGUGGGGUUAGCUAAUC